GUGAUAUCAGGCUACAAAAUGAAACUAUGCAGGUCAAAUCCUAGAGGGGUUUAUGCAAUAUGAGUAUGUGAUGAAGUGUGACUAUGUCUAUUAUGUUGCCUUGAUAUUUGAAGAAAAACCACCACUGAUCAUGAGCUCUGAUGUUGUUGACGUCAACAUCAACAAGAAGAUAUCGCACAAUGAUUUCUUCUCUCCAACAAAUAGAGGGGGAAGUGAACAAUUUGCGGCCAUGGAACCUACUCAAUGCAUCAUCAUUGGUUAACCAUGCAGCGGCCAUGGAACCUCUCCUUCUUUCUUGAUCACCUUCCUCAAGUGUAGGAGAAAGCUUUCAUGAGCUAGACUUAGAGACAUAGAGCAGAAUAAAAAAUUGUUGUGGAUGUAAAGGACUUGUUCUCUGAUGAGAAAGCUUGCACGAGCUUGACUAAAGAGGAUUACAGCA